rnacentral:rRNA from 2 species
UGGGGAAUAUUGCACAAUGGGCGCAAGCCUGAUGCAGCCAUGCCGCGUGUAUGAAGAAGGCCUUCGGGUUGUAAAGUACUUUCAGCGGGGAGGAAGGGAGUAAAGUUAAUACCUUUGCUCAUUGACGUUACCCGCAGAAGAAGAACCGGCUAACUCCGUGCCAGCAGCCGCGGUAAUACGGAGGGUGCAAGCGUUAAUCGGAAUUACUGGGCGUAAAGCGCACGCAGGCGGUUUGUUAAGUCAGAUGUGAAAUCCCCGGGCUCAACCUGGGAACUGCAUCUGAUACUGGCAAGCUUGAGUCUCGUAGAGGGGGGUAGAAUUCCAGGUGUAGCGGUGAAAUGCGUAGAGAUCUGGAGGAAUACCGGUGGCGAAGGCGGCCCCCUGGACGAAGACUGACGCUCAGGUGCGAAAGCGUGGGGAGCAAACAGG